CUCCGCAAUCGGAGCACCUGAGCCCCUGGUGGCACCAACCAUCCCCCUCCCCGGCCCCCCGCGGACAAAGCAAAGCAGGGGGACCCCUGGAUUUGGGAGCCAGGCCUGGUGUCACGAAACCCCGGGAGCCCGCAGGGAGGGCGCCGGGCGGGGAGGGGGACAGGGCCCUGCCCCUCCUCGAAGCAUCCCUUCCUUCUUGUGUCACAGCAGCCGGAGUAGCCCUGCGCACAUGUGAGGGCGCUUCCAGCUCUGGAAGUCCAGUGCAAGAGCACAGGUGCCCCGGAGCCCCUAGACCACCGGUGGAAACCCACAGACAUACCCGCAGUCCCUGACCCUUGGUGGGUCACUGGGACUCACAGGAAACCCCCCCUAAAGGAGAAUUCACCGCUUUGAGUUCAUCUACCCUGGAGAGUACAGGCUUGCAUGCAACUCUGCUGGUGUCGCACCCUGUGCUCUCCUGCCACCCCGGAUGCUGGCAGGGCAGGAGUGAGGGCAGACACACCCAGGGGCAGAAUCAGGACUACAGCCCCAGAGCUCAAGAGGGAAAAGGAACCAGAAGCCUGGCAUGCGUGUUUCUUCCCAUCCAAUCUGCUGCCCUUCCAGACUGCUCAGCAUAGCGCCUGGAACAUG